rnacentral:lncRNA from 1 species
AAAACUGUAGCCCAGGGCACUGAAAACCUCUCGGAGAGGGCCAGGUGUGACCAGCCCUGUGCCCAUCCUGCUGUGAUUCAGGAGUCUUGCAGAAGACAUCAGAAUGCCUUUCUCUGAGUCACAGUCUGUAUCUUCUAGAAAAGGCUGUCCAUCAUCACCCCAAGCCCACUGGCUCCUGAGAUACGACAUCCAGACCCAGUGCAGCUGGACCUGGCUGGCCCAG